rnacentral:rRNA from 1 species
CGGCGGGUGAGUAACGCGUGGAAAACCUGCCGUAUACUGGGGGAUAACACUUAGAAAUAGGUGCUAAUACCGCAUAAGCGCACAGCUUCGCAUGAAGCGGUGUGAAAAACUCUGGUGGUAUACGAUGGUUCCGCGUCUGAUUAGCUAGUUGGUGGGGUAAUGGCCUACCAAGGCAACGAUCAGUAGCCGGCCUGAGAGGGUGAACGGCCACAUUGGGACUGAGACACGGCCCAAACUCCUACGGGAGGCAGCAG